UCCAUUUCAUGCAUUAGAAAAGAGCUUGAAAUAGAUUUAUAAUGGUAUGACACAGUAUAUUGAAUUAUGUGUCGUGUAUUGUAUAUAGGCAGUGAGCCCUCUAACAAGGGUAAAGACGUUGUAUCAGAGCACUAAGAAUAGGAGUAUUUCAAACUCCUGAUACUGUGAGUAACCUUACUAUCGUCUUAAUUAUCUAAAGUGGUUUUUAUCCGAUUUUGUGAUUUUAUGGAAAAUGAGUUUAAAUGGCAAAUCUUUAUGUUUUAUGAGCAAAAUGUGAUUAAAUGAAAUGAUUGUAUAAAAUUUUCUUGAAAUUGAAUGAUGGUUUUGGAAAAUGGAGUAAUUGGAGACUAAUUGCUGUGUUAUAAAUCAUGGUUUGAAUUGAAUGGCUUAUGAUAAUAUUGGCAUGAAUGGUUGAUUUGGUAAAUGUGUUGAAAAUGUAUGAACUGUUAAUUUACCUUGAGAGGCUGUAAAAUAAAAUAAUUGCCAUGUCAUGCUAUCGCAAAUUUUAUUAAAUUGGUAGGUUAUAAAUUUGUCGCUGCAGUGAACGGGUUCCAUGGACCAGCGUAUUAGAGGGGCAUGGUAACCGUAUUAUAUUCAUACCUUAGUAUGAGAGGUGCAGAUGGAUAACUCUUGAGGUUAACACUUUAGAGUUCACUUCACGCCAAACUACCACGUGAGGGUGAACUCAGCCAACGCCAAGGAAUGGUUAUGUUUUCAAAAUAAAAACAUGAUUUAUGUGUACAUAACUUUUUAACAGCCUUGGUGGACUUGGUUGGGAUAGCCCUCAAUCAAGGUAUCCCUAAUAACUGAGUAUGAGAAUGAUUUUGGCACGAGCCAAAGUUUUAAGAAAUUCAUAAGCCAUGUUGAUUACUCAAUUUAUAUGAAUUGAUUUUAUUUGGUUGAAAUGAGUUGAAAGGUGAUGAAUUACAAUAUGUUAAACUAUUUUAUUUGUUUCCAUUUACUCAACUUUAAAUAUUUUAGAUGGUAUUUGUUUACUUACUGAGAUUAUAUAAUCUCACCACCCUCAUUUCCACCCAUUUCAAGCUCAGGAUAGUCGGUAGAUAGCUCAUUUCGUUGAGAGCUAUAGUUGGAUUUGCAUCUUCCAAACUGUAGGUUCACAGUCUUCCUUACUUUUAGUUAUUCGGGGGCCUACUAGUUAUUGUAAAUUAAAUUAAAUACUCUAGCUUACUGUGUUACAAUAUGUAUGAAUUUAUUUUGCUUUUACGCUGCAAAAAUUAUUUACGUAUAACUCUAAAAAUAUUGUUUUAUAGGAAAAUAGAAUAUUUUAUUGAAUAUUUCUUUUAUUUCUUUUAUUUUUUAAUUAUAUCCAAAUAAACAUAAUUUCAUUUUAAAUGAAGGUUUUAGAUGUUUAAACUUAUCUUUGAUUAUGAAUUAUGUGUUUUUUACUCGCAUACUACGUUUUUAGCAGAUUUAGAGAUUUUUGAGGAAAAAUGACCAAAAUGCCCCUGUGAGAAAAAAAUUGUUUUUUUAUUGUUUUGAUUUGGAAAUAGUUUAUAAUCUCUCAAAACAUAAUUUUAGUGACUAAUACUCACAGGAGAAGCGAGAAAAACUGAUGUUAAGCCUUACGAGGUUUCGAUUGACAUUUUGUGAAUGAAUGUCUAUAGGGACGUCGUGACGGUUGUCACGAGCUCGAUGGGAGUUCUGGAUCGUGACACCUUACUUGAUUUCUUGUAAUUCUAAGAAGUUCUAGUCUUUCCCUUCAUUUAGUUGAUUAUGAGCUCUACAAGCUCUAAAAGGUUGAACAAAAAAUUGUUUUAGUACUAUUCACCCUUUUCUAGCACUCCAACGGGACCAAUAUAUCAUACAUAACGUUAUCCGUAUAAAAUGCCAAACAUAGGCUACAUUAAUAUAACAUGUUCGUUAUCCAUAAACAUAAUCAAAUCCAUAAAUAUAAACAUAUGACCGAUUUGUUAGUGGAACGUGACUGGCCCUCUAGGCAUCUAAUGGCUGCUGAACACCUAUGAAGGAAUGAAGAUUGGACACCAGUAUCCGUGACAUUAGCUUUUAUCAAUAUGCUAUCACUGAUAUGCAACAAAAUAAAUGGGAAAAAUAAUGUGUGAGUCACAAAUUCUUCGUAAGUGGAUACGGGAAAGGGACAAGCUAGGGGAUAAGAGUGUUUUGUAAACAUGCAGUUAUAAUCUCAUGCCAAUUAUAAUCAAUUUAAACUUUAAUCUCAUGAAACAUGGUGUUUAAACAUGUUUGGAAAUAGCAUAAUUGAUGUAACCAACUGUGAAUGACCACUAGAAAACCUUUUUACCUAUGAAAAGCUUUCAAACAAGUCAAUGCAUUCGAUUCUGGAACUCAUUUAUUGAUAUAAUGAACAUCUAUUGAUAGAUUGGAAACACAAUGCUUCUUGUGGCAUUUUGUAUGCUAUCUAUCGAUAGAUGUUCUACAUUUAUCAUAGAUAGCCUCUGAACCUCUAUUUUAUGGGCAAAAUUGUGUAUUUUUUCCAUUCUUUAGGUCCUUUUACCUCUUAGAACUAUCUUUACGACUCAUUUCAUUUCUCCAAUCACAUACUCAUGCCAAUAUCGAGUAUAGAUCAUAACCAUUAUUCAAGAUGAACUUAACAUGCAUUAUAUCAUAAAGAUAACAAUCAUAAUGAUCCCAUUAACAUUUACCUCACACAUUGUGAUGGUAUAACCCCCAUCAACCUUGCGUUCGCAAUAUACAACCCCAUUACACCUUCGGCGUUUAUGAUGGAUCAUAGGAGUGAAGUUGUCAUUACACCCCGUGUGAGUGGAAUCAAUCGCACUGGUUAAGCUUUUAUACUCAUAGCAUUUAGUAUGAGGAAUGUCCAGCACAUACAUGCUUACUCAUCUCAUAAGGUAUAUGGAAUUUCCAUAUCAUAUACACAUCUCAUGGCAUUUCCUCAUGCCUACUCUUUCAACACAUUGUAUGUAACACACGCAUUACAUACAUAGUCUCAUAGCAUUCGUCAUGCUUCCUCAAACAUCUCAUGUAGUAUAUGGAAAACACAAACAUAAUAUCUUAGAUGAAAAUCAUCAUACAAGACAUCACACAUUUCAUGCCUUAACAUAUCUAGCAUACACCUCAUACAUUCAUACAUUAAUCUUAAAUCAUAUCUCGUACCCACACUAGUCUGAAAACCGGAGUAAUCAAGUGGACUCAAACAUAAGGUGCUUGUCCCCUUUUGUUGAAAACUAAUACAUAAUAUCAUAUUUACGUACAUAGUAGGUUGAAAAUGAAUUUUAAAAUAUUUUUCUUAUCCAUAAAUAAAAUUUCAGUUCAUAAGUAUUUGCACAAAAUCAUAUUCACCAAUAAUCCUCAAAUCAUGCUUCAACUUUACAUAUCAAAAUAAUUUUGAAAGUGCUGUAUCCACUCAUCUUAUAGGGAAGCUUGAUUACAACUCCAAUUCCGUGUAAUUUGGUGUAUUGUCAAGAGUUCCUAUCACACAAUAUUCAUAACAAUCAAUUUCUAAACUAAUAAUCUUGGAAUAAUUAAUAUAGCAACUUAAAAAUCUAUUUGCUUUCGACUAUAGCCACUUUCUCUCUCUAGAUUAAGCUAGAAAUGCAUAAAUUUUCUAAACUUACCUUAUAUGAGCAUAGAUGUUGAAGGAAAUCUCAAAACCUUAGCUUUAAUCCUUAACAAAAAUUUCUAGGCAAAAAUAAUAAAUUUGUAGCGUUAAAAGUGUGAGCUUUAAAGGUUUUAUAGGAUAAAAAUGUCAUUUUUAGCUUUAAACUUCAAAACUAAGAUCAAAAUCAUCAAAAGCAGCAAUUUUCAUUAAAAAUGGGUUGAAAAGGUUUUAGAGUGGUUUUACCUUUCCAAAAACAGCUAAGGGUUGAGAAACCCUUGGGUAUUGGGUCAUAUUUAUAGUUUGGGAAGUGAAAAUAUGCUUUUACCCCUUUUAUUUUUUUUAAAACGACGUCAUCUAUUGAUAGAUCGAGGCUAUCUAUCGAUAGAUGAGCUUUAGAACCCUUUCUGGAAGCUUUUUGCUUGCUAACUUGCAAAGAUAAUUAAGAAAUAUCCAUAAUCAUCUUACCUUGCUUGACUUUUAACUCAUUCAAAAAUAUAACUUUAAACUUUUCAUUAAUCCAAGAUAACAAAUCUACCAUAUGAAAUUCAAAUGCCAUUAAUUCUUUGAACUUAAAUUUUUAAGCAUAAAUAGAGAAAACCUUACCUAAGCUUUGGAUUUCCAGCUACCAUUAACUACAAGUCUAAGUUAACAAAUAACAUCCAUUUACUUUCAUAAACCUCUAUAGAUACCUCAUACAAGCUUUACAUAAUGCAUAAGGAUUAUAACACGUCAAACUUAUUUAUUUCUUAUGUAUACCACUCCACCAAUUGCUAUUUGAAGCAUUCUUUUUACAAUUCUGCUCAACUAAGCUUAAUACCCCUUUUUAACAAUUUUUCUCAUGCUCAUGGUAAUUUAGUUCAGCUUAACCUAUCUAGGUAAGCUCAUCUAAAUAAAUCCCAUUUCCAUUAUAGAACAGGACUAAUAAUUCUCCAACUCCAUACACAAUCUCAUUAACUCACUUUAGCAAUUUAUUUUCUAACCUUAAUUCACCAUUUCAAAAAUAUAAUUCAAUUGUCCCUUACCUUAGAGAAUCAAGGUAGCUUAGUAUCAAAUCAUAAUUUCUAUCUUGCCAAAUGGAAGUGAGCUGCAAACACAAAAAUAAAAUUUUAAACUAAUUAAUUUGAUUCCAAACAACCUAACAAAAUGCUUUCUCUUGACUCACUUACGAUCAUUCCAACAAAGCUUCAAUUACUAUUUCUGUUUGUUAAACUCCAAUCGAGCUCUCCUUUUCUUAUUUUGCAUUUUUCAAACUCCAACUGAGCUAUCCAUUUAAACAAAUCGAACCUCUAUCUUUGUUUUUCAUCAAACCAAGCUCCCAUAUUUGUUUUCUUCAUUUCUUUAUCCUUUUGUUUGUCUUUUGAUUUCCAUGGUUUAGUAUUCUCUUUUCUAAGCUUUCAAAGGGAAGAACGACAACAACUUUUCUAGGGAAUUGGAGCUACAAAUCAAUUAAGAAUUCAAGAGCAACUGAGAGAGAUUAGCAAUCAACCAGACUACGACAUUAAUUUAUUUCUCUCCUUUGGUGUUAUUCUUAUUUUCUUGUAUUGAAUUCAUGACCAAAUUUCUUUGGAUAGUGUUUUAUUUAGAUAUUAUUAACUAAUUUGUUUAUCUAGGAUUAUGGUGGAUUUCAACAUGUAAUCUGAAUAUUGGUUUUUCUGUUAUUUAUCAUGAAUGGGUAUCGUUUUACUUAUUCAAAUAUGUUCUUCAUGCCUUUAAUUGCCAGAUCAACAAUUAAUUGAUUUGUGAAUCUAAUUGAGACUCAACAGAGAGAUUUUAGGUUGGAUUAAGAUUUGAAUAGUGUAUGUUCAUGUCACUUAAGUGAUCUGAUUCGCGAUUUGGGUAAACAUACGUCAAUUGUCAUGCAUAGCCAAAUUAGGAUACUUGCUUAAUGAACUUAAUUUAAUUGAUCCCUAUAGACAUAUAAUGAGCUGAUUAAGUUAAGUAUUUGUACAAGCAUCUUGAUGAAGCCUUGUCCAUAGCUUGGGAUUCUAGGAUUCUAGGUUAGUAAAAUCACCCAGGAAACAUAAAUAACUACAAAAGCUGGUAUCAGAUGAAAUGUUGAAUAAACCUAUGAUCUUAGGUUUUUAAUCUACUGUUUUUCUUAACAAACUUAAUUUUUGCUAAUUAAUUUUGUAUUUCUUUCAAAUUUUGUUUUUAUUAGCUUUUCAAUUUUUUGAUUUCUUAAAUAAGGUUAAUGUCAUGACCCAAAUCUAGGGGUUCGUGAUAGGUACACGACUAAAGCAAGCAAGCUCAAUAGACCCAAGUAAGCUUCAGAAUCCAAAAUCAUAUAACUGUGAGACCUCGACCUCUAUAGGCUCGUAACUAGGUGUAGACGCGAUAAUACAAGUCAGGGGUAAUUUCAUUAUUUCCUUAGUGAGCCCCUAGAAGUAGGCUUUCAAACAAUAUUAAGGCCUAAGUAGGCCUAAGGCAUAAAUGAAUGAUGAAAAUAAGGGUAAAAUGACGAAGGAAAUAAAAAUAAUGAUGAUUUCCAAGGUAGGGGCAAAAUAGUCAUUUUUCAUCUUGAGUAGAAAUUUUAAGUUUUCAUGAAUCCGAGUAUUUCUAGACUAUUAUGAACUUUGUCCUAGUGUCAAAAGAGUAAAAAGAUUACACCAAGGAUUGGAGGAGAACAAGCCAACUUGUUAAGAGCAUUUUCGUAAUUUGAGUAAAGAUUGGAUAAGUUUUAGCUAUAAAUAUAAUUUUUCCAGCAGCUUCUUCUUCUUCUUCCUCCCAUUUCACGUUUCGUUCAUCCUCCAUGGAAGCUUGUUUUGAAACCUCUAUAACUUCUCUUAAGCUAGCUCAAAUUUUCAUGCUUUUGUGAACCCUUUCAUAGAACCUUUUGUGCUCUUUCACUCUCUCACUUUAAAACCCUUGAAAAGUCUUACUUCCAUACUUCCUCUCACUAGCUAGGUGUUUUACAAAGAGAAAGAGGGAGCUUUUAUAAUAGCUUGGAAGAAUUUUGAAAAAAAAUUCAAUUGCAAACCCACCAAGGUGAAUGAACUUGCAUUAAAAUGCUUUGGGAUUAGGGCAUAUGUGUUUGAUUAAAUCCAUUGAAAUAUUUUAUCUGUCUUUCUCUAAAAUAUGCAUGGGAACAAGCUUUUAAUGAAACGUUUUGCGUUGUGGAAUGCGACUGUGAUGAAUCCAUGUGCUCUGUGUUAUGUUGAUAUAAAUAUAUCUAAAUAUAUAUGAUAUGUAUUGAUAGUAAUACUGUUUGUAAUUAAAACCAAGUAUGUGCAUGAUGUGGAGGAUGCACACGGCGAUUUUAGUUGUGCAUGAUGUGGGGGAUGCACAUGAUGACUCCAGCUAUGUGCGUGAUGUGGGGGUUGCACAUGAGCUGGGUGAAGCGGUGGUGGUAUUGGUGGUUAUGUAUGUAUAUAUAUAUAUAUAUAUAUAUAUAUAUAUAUAUAUAUAUANUAUUUAUGCAAUAGAAAGUUCAUGAAUAUGGUAUAUGGUUGUAAUGUAUGUGAAAUCUUGCAUGUUGAACCUUGGAAAUUGUUGAGUAUUUUCAAGUUGAUUUUGUCAUUGCAACAGAAUGGCCUUUGCUUAACAUAAUGAGGAUUUUUCUUGGUGUUCUGUUUCUUGCUGCAACGAGAAACUCUCGAGUUGGGAGGCUCGCUGCAGCCUUGUAACUCACUGCAGCGAGAUGUCUACAGGAAAUUUUGUUGUAACGAGAAUUCAUCCUCGCUGCAACGAGAAACCUUCUGUUGUGCUUACUACCUUGUUUGGUUGCUGCCCUAUUUUUCACUUCUUUAGCACCAUUGUUGAUCAUGGACUUCCAACAUUAAAGAAUUAAUUGAUUAAGUUUGCAUGAGGGGUUUUAGUGAGAAACCCUUGGCCAGUUGAGAAACUCUCAGCCGAUAAAAUAAUUUGAGCCCAAAUUUUGCUGCAGAAUGCCUUUCCGUUACAGCGAGAACCUGUCAUUUCACUUGACUUGCUUGAAUGCUACUAAAGUUUUCACUCUUCAAAUUCUUUGUUAUGUAUGAUCCUUCAUCAUCAAGUGAUUAGCCAAUUAAGGGUUUAAUGAGGGGUUUAAAUAAGAAUUAAACUAAAUUGCAUUGUUUUUGAAAAUAAGUGCAUCAUGAUUUCUUAAACUUUUCUUAUCUUUUGCUUGUUCCCUUCCUUUGUUCACUCACUAGGUUUAUACUCAUUGUUUUCAACUUCAUGUUUUCAGAUCAAGAGAUAGUCGGUAACUAGGUUGAGGUGUCCUCAUAGAUUCGUUUCCUUGGUAGGUAUCUCGGCAUUCAAUAGUUGUACUUUCGCUCGAGUCUCUCCGCUGGAAGUCGAGUAUCCCUUUUGUUGUGUAUAGACAAACCCGAUGUAAAUUAUUAAGAUGUAUGUUUUAGACGAUAUAUGUAUAUUUUGAUUGGUAAUGCCACUAUGAAUUGGCAAUGGUUAGCAUUAUUUUGAAUUGGAUUUAUAAAAUGUGACUUUAGCAACUUUUGAUGGAAUGAUGGAUAGGUCAUAUAAAUAAGCUUUCUUGAGCUUAGUGGGC
rnacentral:lncRNA from 1 species